rnacentral:rRNA from 12 species
GCUUACGGCCAUACCACCCUGAGCACGUCCGAUCUAGGAAGCUAAGCAGGGUCGGGCCUGGUUAGUACUUGGGUGGGAGACCGCCUGGGAAUACCAGGUGCUGUAAGCU